GAUUAUUUAGUUUAAAUAAAACAAGUGUUUUGAAAACACUUAAUAAGAAAUACCUUCUUAAUAAUCU
rnacentral:tRNA from 1 species